UACGUAGGGUGCAAGCGUUAAUCGGAAUUACUGGGCGUAAAGCGUGCGCAGGCGGUGAUGUAAGACAGGUGUGAAAUCCCCGGGCUUAACCUGGGAACUGCAUUUGUGACUGCAUCGCUGGAGUGCGGCAGAGGGGGAUGGAAUUCCGCGUGUAGCAGUGAAAUGCGUAGAUAUGCGGAGGAACACCGAUAGCGAAGGCAAUCCCCUGGGCCUGCACUGACGCUAAUGCACGAAAGCGUGGGGAGCAAACAGG
rnacentral:rRNA from 1 species